rnacentral:rRNA from 1 species
GAUGAACGCUAGCGGCAGGCUUAAUACAUGCAAGUCGAGGGGCAGCAGGUCCCGCAGCAAUGCGGGAUGCUGGCGACCGGCAAACGGGUGCGGAACACGUACACAACCUUCCUUUAAGCGGGGAAUAGCCCGGGGAAACCCGGAUUAAUACCCCAUAGUAUAUUGAAGAGGCAUCUCUUUAUUAUUAAAGAUUUAUUACUUGAAGAUGGGUGUGCGGCUGAUUAGGUAGUUGGCGGGGAACGGCCCACCAAGCCUACGAUCAGUAACUGGUGUGAGAGCACGACCAGUCACACGGGCACUGAGACACGGGCCCGACUCCUACGGGAGGCAGCAGUAAGGAAUAUUGGUCAAUGGACGAAAGUCUGAACCAGCCAUGCCGCGUGGAGAUGAAGGUCCUCUGGAUUGUAAAACUUCUUUUAUAUGGGAACGAAAAAGGGAAUUCUUUCUCGUCUGACGGUACCAUAUGAAUAAGCACCGG